GAUGAAGAACUCAGCGAAAUGCGAUAAGUAAUGUGAAUUGCAGAAUUCAGUGAAUCAUCGAAUCUUUGAACGCACCUUGCGCCUUUUGGUAUUCCGAAAGGCACACCUGUUUGAGCGCCAUGAAUACCUCAAUCUCCAUCUUUUCUUCGGAUUGAUGGGUGACUUGGAUGUUGAGCCCUGCUGGUAUGCUAUAUCAGCUGGCUUUAAACUUAUUAGCCGGCUCUGUACUGGAUCGGUUUGACUCGACGUGAUAAUAUUAUCGUUGAGGAUGCAUGUCUCAUGCAGCCGGAAAGUAUCAAAGCAGCUUCUAGCUUGCCUUUAGUGCACUUUUACAUUUUAGACCUCAGAUCAGGUGGGACUACCCGCUGAACUUAAGCAUAUCAAUAAGCGGAGGA
rnacentral:misc_RNA from 1 species